UACGUAGGGUGCAAGCGUUGUCCGGAAUUAUUGGGCGUAAAGAGCUCGUAGGCGGUCUGUCGCGUCGGCUGUGAAAACUCGGGGCUCAACUCCGAGCUUGCAGUCGAUACGGGCAGGCUAGAGUUCGGCAGGGGGAGACUGGAAUUCCUGGUGUAGCGGUGAAAUGCGCAGAUAUCAGGAGGAACACCGGUGGCGAAGGCGGGUCUCUGGGCCGAUACUGACGUGAGGAGCGAAAGCGUGGGGAGCGAACAGG
rnacentral:rRNA from 1 species